UUAGAGUUAAGGGGUAGGGUUUAGGAUUUAGGGUUUAAGGUUUAGGGUUUAGAGUUUAGGGGUGGGGUUUAGGGUUUAGGGAUUAGAGUUAAGGGGUAGAGUUUAGGAUUUAGGGUUUAGGGUUUAGGAUUUAGGGUUUAGAGUUUAGGGUUUAGGGUUUAUAGUUUGGGGUUAAGGGGUGGGGUUUAGGAUUUAGGGUUUAGGGUUUAGGGUUUAGGAUUUAGGGUUUAGGGUUUAGAGUUUAGGUUUUAGGGUUUAGAGUUGGGGAUGGAGGUUUUGAGAUAAGGUUUCAAAUUUUGAAAAAUACAAAAAAUUUAAUUUUUUCAAAAGAUAAAAUGAUAUUUUGGUCAUUUUGGUUUUUGAGGGCUAUUUUUGUGACAUAAACUUAGAAAUGUGCUAUUUUGGAGAUUUGCCCUUUAU
rnacentral:lncRNA from 1 species